UAAUUAAUGAACGACGCAGAUAAGUAUAGGUUAGUAAUUCUAAAUUUUCUACCCAUCUCGCCAUUUGCUGCUGCCUCCAAAUUCGAUAUACCCACAAAAAAAUAUUUUUGCUACCCAUUUGUUGCUGCCUCUAACAACGGAUUUCAACACAGCAAUUCGACCAAACCAAAACCCCAGAAAAAUAAAAAGAUCGAAGCCAAAUAUCUCCAAUUUUCGAGCACAAAAUCGAACCAAAACCCCCAGCAAAAUCGAACACUAAAAACCCCAUAAAAAUCAAGCAAACCCCCCUCCCAUUCGAGUAGAAGUUUGCGGUAUAAACCCCGGCAAAUUCGAACCCUGCAAACCCCAGAACCAUCAAAGAUUUUCCAGCCAAAAACCCCCCAAUUUGAGCAGAAAUUCGAACCUCAACCCCCAAAAAUUUCGAACCCUGAAAACCCCAGAAAAAUUAAACAUUUUUUAGCCAAAAACCCCCCAAUUCGAGCAGAAAUUUGAACCUAAAACCCCAAUAAAUUUGAACCCUUGUUUUCUAUAUGAUUUUUGUUGAUUUAAUGGUUGAAUUUUGCCUCAAUCCUAGGUUUUUUUACCCUGAUUUUUAGGGUUUUGUGUUACUUUUGAUUGGGUGCUCUUCAAUUGUUGUUUUCAUUGCAGUUAUUGAUUCAAUCAUUGAAUUUUGCCUCUAAUUUAGGGAUAUGUUCGGCUUUCUAGGGUUAUUGUGAUGUUUUAUUAUUUCUAAUUGUUCGUGUUUUGGAAUUGUUAUUAGAAAAGCAAAACUUUACAGAUUUGAUAAAGAAGGAAAUCAAUGGAAAGAAAGGGGUACUGGUACAACGAAGUUUCUAAAGCAUGAGGUUCAUGGGAAAGUUCGAUUCGUUAUGCGGAAAUCUAAAACUCUUAAGAUCUGUGCUAAUCAUCUGAUUAUUGCGGGUAUGAUGGUUCAAGAGCAUGUCGGGAAUGAAAAAUCUUGUAUGUGGGUUGCUAGUGAUUAUGUUGAUGGAGAGUGGAAGGAGGAGAUGUUCUGUAUCCGAUUCGCAUCGAUUGAGACACUUGAAGACCUCCCAGUCAAAAAGAAGUGGCCGAGAAAAAGACAUUGAUUAGUAUAUGCUCCAUGUAGAUACCCUUGAGAAAGUGAGAAACAUUCCAAUGAUGCGUUUGUAGCUGAUUGUAUGCCUGGUUUUCUAUCACAAGAAAGAGAAUCUACGUGAGUGUGGCUACUACGUCAUGCGUUAUAUGUACGAAAUACUUGAACAUCAUCAUAGCAGUGAGGAUCUUAUUAAGUAUAUUUGUUGUGUUGAUAGGAUUUUUCAAGAACUACACCGUAUACCGAGGAGGAGAUAAAUGAUAUUCGAGAUAUUUGAGCAGAGUAUUUUAUAUGUAAUGUUGAACUUUAGAUUUACACUUAGCAAAUGUUGGACUCUUGUUUUGGAUUAUAGGCUUGAUAUGAAUGAAUUUGGUUAAUUGGUGU